UGGGUAACCUGCCUCAAAGAGGGGAAUAGCCUCCCGAAAGGGAGAUUAAUACCGCAUAAUAUGUUUAGGUCGCAUGACUUUAACAUCAAAGGAUUUUCUUUUAAGAAAUUCCACUUUGAGAUGGACCCGCGGCGCAUUAGCUAGUUGGUGAGGUAACGGCUCACCAAGGCAACGAUGCGUAGCCGACCUGAGAGGGUGAUCCGGCCACAUUGGAACUGAGACACGGUCCAGACUCCGUAGGAGG
rnacentral:rRNA from 1 species